rnacentral:rRNA from 1 species
UACAGGGGGUGCAAACGUUGCUCGGAAUUAUUGGGCGUAAAGCGCGCGUAGGCGGCUAAUUAAGUCGGAUGUGAAAGCCCCUGGCUUAACUGGGGAAGUGCACCCGAAACUGGGUAGCUAGAGUGCAAAAGAGGGUCGCGGAAUUCCCGGUGUAGAGGUGAAAUUCGUAGAUAUCGGGAGGAACACCGGUGGCGAAGGCAGGUCUCUGGGCUGACACUGACGCUCAUGCACGAAAGCGUGGGGAGCAAACAGG